CAGUGCAGCCUCCAACGUUUACACAAACAGUCACUCUCCAUCGUCAAUUUCGCCCAGUUUAUCCUACUCAAACGAUUCGAACAGCAGUGGAGGAAUUUCCCGCCCGAUUACACCAUCUUCAAACAACAGGACCGAUAUUUCAAGUCCUAUCGAGAAUACUGGAAUGCUUACUGAUCUACCGCCGGCGGACAUCGCAGUCUAACGGUGUAGGGUAUAUCGCUUUUGCAACACGACGACCUUGGCGAUUUAAACUUUCAUGAAUAAGAACGUAGUCACAAAACAUAAUAACAUAAAUACACGAUUACUCAUUUGAAUGUUAGAAAUGCUUAAGUUAGCAUUUUCUAUUACGCGUUGUGUAUGCCAUUCAGAAUAGAUCACUAAACAUUAUAAGCUAAAACGACAUUAACGAAAGAUGACAUAUGUUCAGCAUUUUCAAGUGAAAAAUAGCAUUACUAUGGCGUGCGUAUUUUUCUAUAAAAACACAAUGCUAGAUGUGAUAUAUAACGUUUGUUUAGAAAUGCGUUGGAAAUGAGACAACAAGGAUCGAAAAGAGUGAACAAUAAGUACAUGUAUAUGUAUAUCGAAUAUCAUCGAUUUACAGCUUUCUAAGUGUUACUUCUUCUGUUAACAAAAUUUAGCCAUUACUGUUUGAUAAACUUCUAUAUCGUUAGAAAUGGUAUAUUUGAUCUUUCAGAUUAACACAAUUUUGCGAAUAUACCGGCGUAUAUCAAGGUCCUCUCUUAUUUGAAUAUGUCAUGUUAGUGUAAAGAAAAUAAUCAAUGUACCGCACCGUGGAACGACUCAUUUUUUAUUUUAACAAAUUUCAUUAAAACAUAAAUAUACAAAAACGUAUACGGGUGCAGGCAUUCAAUUAUUAACAAAUAAAUACGAAGAUGAAUUUAACUAAAUUAAAUUCAUUCUAGCUGAUGCAAAUCAAACAAUAAUCGGACAAUUUGCAACGCCUGUAUACAAGCGACCAUAAUUCAAUUGGCCUCCUUAAAUUAAGUCGUUUGUCUUGUAUUGAUUGUGCGUUGUUAGUAUAGUUAAUUAUUUUCUUUAUAGACCGAUGCUAUUAAUAUAACUUUUAUAUUCCGGAAUAUAUGUAUAUACUUGUUUCAUCUUGAACAAUUAUCAUGAGAUUUAAAUAAGCUAUUGACUUGUAAUUAUUUUAUUACUAUGUAGUUUUGCACA